rnacentral:antisense_RNA from 1 species
GGGGGCGGUGGGCGGAUGCCUACCCGAGAGACCAGGAGAGCUAAGUGAUUGAUGGAGCUUCCGGAAGUCUUGGCGGCUGUACCGGCGCUAAUGUUCCUCCUUUUCCUGAGGUUUUCUAAUCACAGAAUUACUGGAGCGUCAAGAAGCGCCUGCAUGCUUGGAAGGGCUUCCAGGCAGAUGAACACACCUCAGCACCGGGUGGCAGUUUCCCAGGGUGCAACCCGGACCGGCUCUGGGUCACACUGACAAGGAUAACAAGGAUUAACAAUUUCCAGAGACAGCCCGUACAUAGAGGGAAAGUUUACUGAAAAAAAUGAAGAGGGGUCAGGGCAAGGCGAGGAGCAAGAAGCAUCCCCAAGGAAACAGAGAAGACCAGUACAACUGUACCUCUUUGCCAGCUGCACCAUCCGUACCAGGUGGCACGUUCUAGAGGCCAUAGCCUCUGUUCUGGUCAUCUCCAGUCUCCUGGGGUGGGAGUGUACAGCUCAGAGACUGCCACACUGCAAGACGAAGGGGCUGGAUGGACGGAAGUAAGAGGCGGAACCCUGCACACCCUCGGCCUCAGCCCCACUGAGUCUCC